rnacentral:rRNA from 1 species
AGUGAACGCUGGCGGUAGGCCUAACACAUGCAAGUCGAACGGCAGCACAGUAAGAGCUUGCUCUUACGGGUGGCGAGUGGCGGACGGGUGAGGAAUACAUCGGAAUCUACUUUUUCGUGGGGGAUAACGUAGGGAAACUUACGCUAAUACCGCAUACGAUCUACGGGUGAAAGCAGGGGAUCUUCGGACCUUGCGCGAUUGAAUGAGCCGAUGUCGGAUUAGCUAGUUGGCGGGGUAAAGGCCCACCAAGGCGACGAUCCGUAGCUGGUCUGAGAGGAUGAUCAGCGACACUGGAACUGAGACACGGUCCAGACUCCUACGGGAGGCAGCAGUGGGGAAUAUUGGACAAUGGGCGCAAGCAUGAUCCAGCCAUACCGCGUGGGUGAAGAAGGCCUUCGGGUUGUAAAGCCCUUUUGUUGGGAAAGAAAAGCAGCAGGUUAAUACCCCGCUGUUCUGACGGUACCCAAAGAAUAAGCACCGGCUAACUUCGUG